GUUUUCAAUAAGAUCUUCCUUCUUAGUUCUCAAUUGGUUAUCCAGUUAGUAAGUUAUCUGUUUUAUAUGGAAGGAUUUCCAUAUUUUGUGGAUGUAAUUCUUAGGACCUGAUCAAAAUACAGAAGAAGAAGGGGAAUGGAAAAGAUAUUUAGCUGGGAAGGAAAAAAGAAAGAAGAAGAAAGAAAGAAAAGAGAAAAAAUAGAAAAUUUGGAUCAGUAAAGAUGCUGAAUUAGAUAAAUAUGUUAGAAAUUCUAGGUCAUUAAAAUAUACUGUGUUACUAGAGCUAGAGGCUUUGAUUGGUCUCGUUCUUUGGAAAUUCCAGUCACAUGGAAGAAAAUCUCCACUUAAAUGUCCCUAGAACAGAUACUGACGAGGGUGUAGACUGAUGCUAUCAACAUAUAUUAAAUGAGUAAUAUUCCCUUACUUUAGGAACUCCCCAGAAUUAUUAACCCCCUCCACAUACACACGAGUUUCAUUUUUCUUCAUUGUGUUCUAGACCCAUGUUCUUUUUAUGAGAAUUAUACAAGAUUGGAAUGAAGAAUAAACAAAGAAGCUACAGGUUGAAAUAUUAUAUUCUAGGUUCAGAUACAAAGAAUCUAAUUUCUUUUACUUUUAUUGGAGCUCAAUUUGCCAACAUACAGCAUAACACGCAGCGCUCGUCUCAGAAGCGGGCCCCGUGCGUAGAAGGGAGCGACUCCCGUGGUGGGGUCGCCAGCGCCUCGCCCUUCCUGCUCCUCGUCCGCACUGGCCCGGUGGGCCGACCUGCUGCCUUGACUCAGCGCUUCUGGGGGGUGCCUGGGCGGGGCCACCUGCUGCUCCGGGCUCCUCCCGGGGCCCCGCCCCUCCGCGGCCCCGCCCCUCCGCGGCCCCGCCCCUCCGCGGCCCCGCCCCCGCCGGACCCUCGCCCCUUCCACGGCCCCGCCCCCUCCGCCGCCACGCCGCGUGCACCAAGCUCUUUCCCAGCGCAACCGCCGUCUUCAUCAUCUCCGCCGCCUCCUGGCCGUUGCCGGCGCCCCGCAGCCUCCGAUGGGGCAGCCUCCAGCCCCUGCCCCGCGCGCCGCCUGCUUAAGGGGCUGGACCCCUGGACCCUGAGGUCACCAGCCCAGCGGACUGAGUCACCCAGGAUCUCCUGUGGAAACAACAAAAGGAAAAACGAGCAGACAACCUGGGGACAUCUGCCCUGGAAAACGGGUGAAAAUAUUUACCAUCUUGAAUAGCAAGAACUUGACCCAUCAGUGGAGAUGCCAGAGGGUAACAUGAAAAUUGAUUCAUUAAAUAGCCUCAAAAAUCUUGUCCUAGGGGCAUCUGGGUGUUUCUGUCAGCUAAGUUUCUGCCUCCUGGUUUUCAGCUCUGGUCAUGACCUCAAGGUCAUCAGAUUCACCCAUAUUCAGCAUGGAGCCUGCUUCGUACUCUCUCUUCCUUUCCCUCUGCCCGUCUCCUCCUUACACUUGCUCUUUUGCUCUAUCCACACACACAAAACAGAAUCAUUAUUCAGUUUUGCUCGGGGUGCCAUUGUUAAGACAAACCUCCUAAGCCGUAUUCUUUAUGUUUCAUGUGUCCACACCUUAAUUUAAAAGGUCAGUCAUUAGUUUGUGGCCAAAAUAGUGAAAUCGCAUUGAGAACUCUAAUUUGGUCAGAUUUAAUGGGAGGGGUUGUGAAGCUAACAUUUGGACAUACUAAUCUGUGUUAAAUAUUAGCAAAAUGUUUUCUGUUUUUACAUUUUUUUACUGGAGUUCAAUUUGCCAGCAUAUAGCAUAACACCUAGUGCUCAUCCCGCCAAGUGCCCCCAUCAGUGCCCAUCACCGGGUCGCCCCAACAACCUGCCCACCUCCCCUUCCACUACCCCUUGUUCAGUUCCCAGAGUUCGGUGUGUGUCCUGUUUUGUCACCCUCACUGAUAUUUUCCCUCAUUUUCCCCAUUCCCUUUAUUCCCUUUCACUAGUUUUUAUAUUCCCCAAUGGAAUGAGACCGUAUCAAGUUUGUCCUUUUCCCAUGGACUUAUUUCACUCAGCAUAAUCCCUCCAGGUCCAUCCACGUCGGAACAAAUGGUGGGUAUUUGUUGUCUCUCAUGGCUUAGUAAUAAUUCUGUUGUAGCUGUGGACCACAUCUUCUUUAUCCAUUCAUGUCUCGAUGGACCCCGAGGCUCCCUCCAGAGUUUGGCUAUUGUGGACGUUGCUGCCAUAAACAUUGGGGUGCAUGUGUCCCUUGGCUAUUCAGGGUCUUUUCCGGUUCCACACAAAUCUUAUGAUGCUUUGUUCCAACUCCCUGAAGAAAGUCCAUGGUAUCUUGAUAGGGAUUUCAUGAAAUGUGUAAAUUGCCCUGGUUCGCAUGGACAUUUUCACAAUAUUCGUUCUUCCAACCCUCAUGAGCAUGGAGUAUUUUUCCAUCUCUUUGUGCCUUCCUCCAUUUCCUCAGGAGCGUUCUGUAGUGUUUAGGGUAUAGAUCCUUUACCUGUUUGGUUAGGUUUCUUCCUAGGUAUCUUAUGCUUUUGGGUGCAAUUGUACAUCAUAUUGACUCCUUAAUUUCUCUUUCUUCAGUCUCCUUGUUUGUGUAUAGAAGUGCGACUGAUUUUGGGCAUUGAUUCUGUAUCCUGCCAUACUGCCAAAUUUUUAUGAGUUCUAGGAAUCUUCGAGUGGAAUUUUUUGGGUUUUCUAUGUACAGUAUCAUGUCAUCUGGUGUUUGAAAGUUUGAAGGCAAGUUUGACUUCUUCUUUGCCAAUUUAAUGCAUGUUAUUUGUUAUUGCAUGAUUGCUGAGGCUAGGACUAAUACUCUUUUGAAUAGCAUUGGUGAGAGUGGACAUCCCUGUCCUGUUCCUCAUCUUAGGGGAAAGGUUCCCAGUGUUUCCCCAUUGAGAACGAUAUUUGCCGUGGGCUUUUUGUAGAUGGCUUUUAAGAUGCUGAGGAAUGUUCACUGUAUACCUACAUUCUCA
rnacentral:lncRNA from 1 species